GUGCCAUCGCUCCGGCAGCACGUAUACUGAAGUUGGACCGAUACAGAGAAGAUUAGCAUGGCCCCUGUGCAAGGAUGACAUUCAAAGAGAAACACAGCAUUCCAAUAUUC